UACGAAGGGGGCUAGCGUUGUUCGGAUUUACUGGGCGUAAAGCGCACGUAGGCGGAUCGUUAAGUCGGGGGUGAAAUCCUGGAGCUCAACUCCAGAACUGCCUUCGAUACUGGCGAUCUCGAGUCCGGAAGAGGUGAGUGGAACUCCUAGUGUAGAGGUGGAAUUCAUAGAUAUUAGGAAGAACACCAGUGGCGAAGGCGACUCACUGGUCCGGUACUGACGCUGAGGUGCGAAAGCGUGGGGAGCAAACAGG
rnacentral:rRNA from 1 species